AACGUUGCUUCCGAGGAGACUGCAGACGGCUCGCAGUUUGUGUGUCUAUAACCACAGCUUCGACUACAACACCAACAACAACACCAACGCCAACAACACCAACACCAACAGAAACAACAACAGAAACAACAACAGAAACAACAACAACAACACCAACAACAACACCAGAAGGAUAAAGAGAUGGCGCUGCAGUCCAUCGGCCGCCUGCAUUUUCUGCGGACAAGAGCUUUGUCGUGUUCCUGGUCAUUGCUUUUAUUUUCUCCUCCUUAAUUUUUCUUGGCUUUAGCAUUGAUAUGUUGAUUGUAUCAGGUUGCGUAUAAACGUGAUGACAUCGCUUCAAA